ACACACGCUACAAUGGCAGAUACAAUAGGUUGCGAAACCGCGAGGUGGAGCCAAUCCUCAAAGUCUGUCUCAGUUCAGAUUGUAGGCUGCAACUCGCCUGCAUGAAGUUGGAGUUGCUAGUAAACGCAGGUCAGCUAUACUGCGUUGAAUACGUUCCCGGGUUU
rnacentral:rRNA from 1 species